AACAGUUGAGUGUCGUGAUUCCA
rnacentral:miRNA from 1 species